rnacentral:tRNA from 1 species
GCUAGCGUAGCUUAAUAUAAAGCAUGGCACUGAAGAUGCCAAGCUGGGCCCUAAGAAGCCCCGCAUGCA